CAGAUGAAUGGAGUGGGGUGAUCAAAUAGUGUAAAACCUUAAUACCCGAUUUCCUGUUGCCCGUUACACAAACUCAUCAUCACUUUCACCUUAGAGACCUUCCUUUCUCCCGCCCUUCAUCACAAAUUCAAUUUCUCAAAAUUCAUACCUCACCCUUAUUAUUUAUUCAACAUUCUCUUCAUCCAAUUAAUAAUAAAUACCUUAUCUAAUUUGUAUAGCAAUUGUUUCAAGAAACCGAGGCUGCAAAUUGAAUCAUCAAGAAUACUUCAAGGUUGAAGGUUUGCAGUAAUUAAUUAUAUUAUAUCUCAAGUUUGUGAAGCCAGCCAGCAUUGGAAACAAAUACUUUAUUUCUUAAAGCAGGAAAAAUAAUAAUGGGUGCUGUCAAACUGCAACUUCCAUUGCCGAAAAGUGUUGACGGAGUGACCCUGGAUCCAAAUCCUGAUUGGAGCUUUGAUGCUUUAUUGGUCGAGCUCAACUCAAUAGAGAAGAAGCUCAAUGCAUCAUCAAAAUUUCCAAUACCUUUUACCAAAACAGAAUUUCAACAACUCUCGGCUUCAAAGGAUAAUUCUCGGAGAGGCUUUGUUAUGCAAGUGUCUGAUGAUGAUGUGGAGGAUAUGGACGGAGAUACUAAGCAUGAAGUUGGUGAUCAUUUUCUUACGGGAGGAAAACGUUUUGCCUGUGACGAAAUCUAUCUGAGUGAUAGCGACCAAUCUGAAGAAGGCCUGCACAUUGAUCUUCAACGUGAUCUAAUGGAUAAAGUGGGAUUGGUGGAAAGUGGUUUAUCUGAGUUAGCUAAUGAGCAUCAGCGCACUAUUGCGGAGGAAAUGAGAGAUCAAUUAUCAGCACUUGAAGCUGAGUUGAUGGAUGAAAGUGAGAAGCUUGCCACCACACUAGAACGAGUUGAGAGAAAUACUGAAGCUCAAAGGGAAAUGAACCGAAAAUUUGACAUGCAGUACCAGCGUAAAAUCGCAGAAGCACUUGAUGAUCAUCUAACUGCCGUACAAAGGGAUCACGAACACAAAUCCCAAAUUGAAGAAAGGAAGAUAAGAGAUGAUGCAGCUCGUGAAGAGGCCAAAAGGAAAGAAAAAGCUCUUCAAGAAGAAAAAGCCCGGCAAGAAAGGAUCAGAGCAGAAGCCAAGGUGCAGGCUAGGCUGGAAGCUGAAAGAGUUGAAAAGGAAAAAGCCGCAGCACAGGAAGCUGAGAGGAAAGCAGCAAAAGAAUCUGCUGCUGCGGUGGAGAAGAAGACAUCUGAGUCAUUGGCAACUGCUCCUUCGGAGGGUAGCAAGAUUUCAAGGGAUUCUAGUCAGCCUGUGAGACCCAUGUCUGAUGGGCAGAGACAUUCAGCAGGAAAUACAAUCAGGGUGACAGAAAACGCUCAAAAGCUAGAGGAGAAAAGAUUAAGCAUUUACAAUGAAAUAGCUGCACAGAAUGAAGCACUGGGGUUGAGUUCAAACAAGGCUUACCGAAAAUAUGAAAUGGAAAUAGCCAGACGAAUCAGAACUAUCACUGGUUCAAAAGAAAAUGUCAGAGUGAAAGCAGAUGAAUUACUUAAGCUAAUUAGUGGAUCAACAUGUCCACAAUCCAUCAGCAUUGCAAUGUUCGCGCAGCAGGUGGUGUCCCUGUGUGUGAACCUUACAGGAAGCUUUAACAGUAAAGUCUAUGCUUAUGGCUGUGUAAUUGUCCAUGUUACAUCAAAGGUCCCUCGUGCCAUGGAUAUUCUCAUAGCUGAGUUGAACAAAGUUUGCAUUUACACAGUUCCUAAGUACAUUAUUUACUCAGAGGCAGCAUUCCAGACUAAAGAAGCUUAUUACAAAGCUAUUGGCUAUGCAGAGGAAGAUGGGAAGAUAGAAAAUACUGAUAGUUAUGUGAAUCGCUUAAGUGCAUACAUGAAAUUAUAUGGUGCUCUUGUUCAGGGAAAGGGACAUAGAGUUGAGCAUGACGAAUAUAAGUUGGGAACUUUUGUAUGCAUGAAUGGUGUAUCCUACUGGUUGAUAUUGAUUGUGAUUUGUGAUGGUGUGCAACAAAAAAAGCCCUAAGGGCUAAAGAUCUUUGUUAGGAGAAAAUGCAGAAUAAUGACUUUGAAGGGACUCAAAAGGUUGCACUGAAAGCUGAAGGACUUUCCCCUCAAUUAUAGAGCAUAUCCCAACUACUUCAUGUCUCUAAUGUUCACUGUUUAGAUCAGAGCAGUAGAGUUGGGUUAGAAAAGGAUUGCUAUGGAUCCCUCAGUUGACAAAGUGACUAUCAAGCUCCAAUAUUGGAGAUUGUGCUUGUGCUUCAUCCAAACAAGAGAGAGUUUCCAGGUGCAGAAGCAGCUUUCUGUUAGUUGGAGAAGUGCCUAUGGUGCUCUCGAUCCAGUAAGGGGCUUUGUAUGAUAGGAGUGCAAAAUAUAUUCGGGGUUAUAGCAGCAAAGCCACUAUCUCCUCAGGUCAAUUGAAUCCUCCAGUUAGACAAAAACAAUAUUCCAAAUGGUUUUAGUACUCAGUUCAGUAUCUGAAUCAUCAUCCACAUACUCAACCAACUUCAUCAGCAGAGCAGGAAACAUUCUGGACAAGAUGUCCUUUUUGCUAUAUGUACCAAUACUACAGGUUAUGAACAGAGAUGUACGCUGCCAGAAAUUAUCAAAGCCAUUUGAUUGUGCUUACCCAAACUAAUAUCUGUUAUUCCGUGUAUAGGACUUCUGUUACGGGAGUUCUUGGUGCAGCGCGGAGCUCCUUUCGCCUGAGACUGAAGUUGAGGGCUGCCAAAACUUGCAUGGCCUCAGAGAAGGUUGGGCAUGGAUAGCCAGAUUCUUAAAUGUUAUCCCUGCAAAUUUAUAUACUGCAGCUGCAUUGCAGGCUUUUCUUGAA